UGGGGAAUAUUGCACAAUGGGCGCAAGCCUGAUGCAGCCAUGCCGCGUGUGUGAAGAAGGCCUUCGGGUUGUAAAGCACUUUCAGCGAGGAGGAAGGUGGUGAGCUUAAUACGCUCAUCAAUUGACGUUACUCGCAGAAGAAGCACCGGCUAACUCCGUGCCAGCAGCCGCGGUAAUACGGAGGGUGCAAGCGUUAAUCGGAAUUACUGGGCGUAAAGCGCACGCAGGCGGUUUGUUAAGUCAGAUGUGAAAUCCCCGGGCUCAACCUGGGAACUGCAUUUGAAACUGGCAAGCUAGAGUCUCGUAGAGGGGGGUAGAAUUCCAGGUGUAGCGGUGAAAUGCGUAGAGAUCUGGAGGAAUACCGGUGGCGAAGGCGGCCCCCUGGACGAAGACUGACGCUCAGGUGCGAAAGCGUGGGGAGCAAAACAGGAUUAGAUACCCUGGUAGUCCACGCUGUAAAACGAUGUCGAUUUUGGAGGUUGUGCCCCUUGAGGCGUGGCUUCCGGAGCUAACGCGUUAAAUCGACCGCCUGGGGAGU
rnacentral:rRNA from 1 species